GGUUCCGUGGUGUAGUGGUUAUCACGUCUGCCUCACACGCAGAAGGUCCCGGGUUCGAACCCCGGUGGAAGCU
rnacentral:tRNA from 1 species